UACAGAGGUCUCAAGCGUUGUUCGGAUUCAUUGGGCGUAAAGGGUGCGUAGGCGGCGUGGUAAGUCGGGUGUGAAAUCUCGGAGCUUAACUCCGAAACUGCAUUUGAUACUGGCGUGCUUGAGGACUGGAGAGGAGACUGGAAUUCAUGGUGUAGCAGUGAAAUGCGUAGAGAUCAUGAGGAAGACCAGUGGCGAAGGCGGGUCUCUGGACAGUUCCUGACACUGAGGCACGAAGGCCAGGGGAGCAAACGGG
rnacentral:rRNA from 1 species